rnacentral:rRNA from 1 species
CAAUAGCGUAUAUUUAAGUUGCUGCAGUUAAAAAGCUCGUAGUUGGAUUUCGGGUGGGAAUGGCCGGUCCGCCGUUUCGGUGUGCACUUGCUACGCCCACCUUGCUGCCGGGGACGUGCUCUUGAGUUCACGCUCGGGACACGGAGUCGGCGAGGUUACUUUGAGUAAAUUAGAGUGUUCAAAGCAGGCCUACGCUCUGAAUACAUUAGCAUGGAAUAACACGAUAGGACUCUGGCCUAUCUUGUUGGUCUGUAAGACCGGAGUAAUGAUUAAGAGGGACAGUCGGGGGCAUUCGUAUUUCAUUGUCAGAGGUGAAAUUCUUGGAUUUAUGAAAGACGAACUACUGCGAAAGCAUUUGCCAAGGAUGUUUUCAUUAA